AUACUUACACCUGGCAGGGGAGAUACCGCAAAGGUGCUUUCCCAGGUGGAGGCUUACCCAUUGCACUCCCGAUUGCUGACCCCUGCGAUUUCCCCAAACGUAGGACACUCGAUAGCAUGAUUCGUGGUAGCCAGGGACUGCGUUCUCGCUCUCCUUUG
rfam:Myotis brandtii contig203675, whole genome shotgun sequence.